rnacentral:tRNA from 1 species
GUCCUGAUAGCCUAAUGGUUAAGGCUAUGGAUUGCAAUCCAGAGACGGCGGGUUCGAUUCCCGUUCCAGUCG